CCUACGGGAGGCUGCAGUGAGGGAUAUUGGUCAAUGGGGGAAACCCUGAACCAGCAACGCCGCGUGAGGGAAGACGGUUUUCGGAUUGUAAACCUCUGUCCUCUGUGAAGAUGAUGACGGUAGCAGAGGAGGAAGCUCCGGCUAACUACGUGCCAGCAGCCGCGGUAAUACGUAGGGAGCAAGCGUUGUCCGGAUUUACUGGGUGUAAAGGGUGCGUAGGCGGCUUUGCAAGUCAGAAGUGAAAUCCAUGGGCUUAACCCAUGAACUGCUUUUGAAACUGGCGUUCUUGAGUGGGCGAGAAGUAUGCGGAAUGCGUGGUGUAGCGGUGAAAUGCAUAGAUAUCACGCAGAACUCCGAUUGCGAAGGCAGCAUACCGGCGCCCAACUGACGCUGAAGCACGAAAGCGUGGGUAUCGAACAGGAUUAGAUACCCUUGUAGUC
rnacentral:rRNA from 1 species